GUGCGUAUUCUCUGUGUCUCUCGCGCUGUGACUCGGUGACUAGGCAAGUAGUUGACGCAAGUGUAGGCUACUUCAAGCAACAGGCGCAGCACCAGUAGUUGCAGUGACAGGUCCCUCCCUCUCCGCUGAUGCUAUGGUGCUGAAAUGGGUGCCGGCAUUUAUUUCAAUCACCUCAUUAGAACUGUGCAAUCCCGCCUUUCUACGAGGACUGAAGGAGAGUCGACUUCAAAGAAAGUGGAGCUGGGAAGAUGGAGUUGUACUUUUAUGUUUUGUGAAAAUAUGUAAAACGUAUCUAAAGGGUAAAAGUUUGGUUUCAAUGAGAAGUAGCUGGCAGACAGUGUUCUGGUGUAUUGCGUCUUGCACAAGCAUUUCGCUAUACUCGCAAUAACAUCUGCUAAUCACGUGUACCAAUAAAAAUUGAUUUGAUAUGACACCAAGUGAUGGGCAAAAGCUUUCAAGCGUUCUAUUUCUCUGCUCAUGCAUCCAAGUCGUGUUGGGUCCCUUCUCUAGGUCUCUCUACUUCACCCCUCCCACCACUCCUCUCCCAUCUCAACCACACUAUAGCCUACCCAUAUAUCUGUCUCUUGCUUAUGUCUAGCGAAUGAUUCAGAAAAAGAUCAUGGGCGUAACUAAAAAGGGAAAAGGACCAUUCACGCAGAGUUGGAACAAUAGACAGCAACUCACAAUGGACAAUGCAUAGAGGAGCAGAACUGUUUGGGUUUCUGGACACGUCCACACCGGCGGGCCUGUGACGGGGACCAAUGACAGAUAUGUGCAGCUUCCCUCCGAAGCGGUGAGAAAAUGUGGUGCGGGACUGACUGGCAGACUGAUUACUUGCACAUAUCUGAGAGUCGUCUCUGCUAGUUGGCUUGUCUCAGGCCCCUCAAGCAAAAGUAAAGUCAGUGUUUGGCAUAAACUGCUCGGUGGUGGAUUGACUCAUUGUAUAGCUAAAGUGCAUCCAGAUAGCGCCGGGUUUUUUUCUCUCUGGAAUUGGUUCAAUAUCGUAUAGCUGCAGCAAACUACACUGCUGCUGCAGAGCUCGAGUUUUUCUAUAACUGAAAUUCAGUCUGGACAUCAGUAAGGCCUAUUUAAUUGGAUUACCCCAAGUUCACGGCAACAGGUGCUGAAAUCAGAGAGAGACUUUCAUCCAUAAGCAACUGCCUUAAGCUGGAAAACAUCAGUGUCUACAAACCGAGCAGGCCUCUGGCAGCUAUGCAAACCAUGGUGCUGAAUGGAGGAGGAGAAACAGAGAGAAAGAAGAGUCGGAAGAGAAGGAGAGUGGGAGUGGGUGGAAGGAGAGGAAAGAAUGGAGCAGUGAGUGGUGAACCAGGGAGCAGGUGAACCCAGUAGUGGAUGGCCAUAGGCUCUCUGGCUCUUCUCUGCUCCGUGCAGGGGUCUCAGGGAGCCGGCUGGGGCCAGCCAGGCAACGGCGGAGUGGGCAGGCGAGUCGAGGCGAGGGGAGGCAAGGCAGGCUCUCAUCCCCGCUGGCAAGUUGCUCCUCGGCAGUGCGGAGUAGCAAAUCAAUAUGGAGGAGAGAGGCUAGCAGGGGUUGCCCAGCACUGCCCCUGGCCCUAGAGCCCAGGGACCCAGCGCUGCCAGCCCUCUCUUUCCUCUCCCAGUCCCAGCCAACCCGCACUGUGUGUGUGUGUGUAUUUGAGUGAGUAUGUGUAUAUGUGGGUGUAUGUGUGUGUCUAUUUGAGUGUGUGUGUGUGUGUGUGUGUGUGUGUGUGUGUGUGUGUGUGUGUGUGUGUGUGUGUGUGUGUGUGUGUGUGUGUGUGUGUGUGUGUGUGUGUGUGUGUGUGUGUGUGUGUGUGUGUGUGUGUGUGUGUGUGUGUGUGUGUGUGUGUGUGUUUGAGCACGUCUGUGUGUGUGGUUCCGCCGGAGGGGCUUUCCUGGCUCAAGACCACUUGAUAUAACUUUGCCUGUGAGCGAGAGAGCGAAGGAGAGAGAGAAUAAAAAAUGGACGUCAAAGGUCUUUUUCUCCUAUUUUUCCCUCUGAUUACUCGUUUCACCUGACUGUUUGAAUGAGAGUUCAGUGAAAAGGCCUCUUCCAUUGAAUUGAACAGGCGUCUCUCGUCAAUCCCCCUCCAGUCAUGUAGUGUACAGCCACCAUGCUCUCCACAUCUGAUGAACCAGGAUAAAAGGCCAAUUUGAACUACAGAUUCAGAUUAAAUGUUGUAUUUUCUGCCUCCCAUUUUCUUCCUCAUGACUCAGGUUACUAUCAGAGGAUAUGGCAGAGGUUAUUGAUCUAAAUGGAGCUGGUCUUAGUACGGUACCUUUCAUUGUCUGUGGUGGUUACAUGCUGUAGUAGUAACUGAUAACUUCACUAUACAACUGAACUAUAUUCAGGAGUGAAGGAGUCCUAAUUGAGUGAAAGAUGAAAAAGACUGUGGACAUAUUGUAUAGUGCCUGAACAGUGGCCCUCUCCACCAGUUCUAUUUUUCCUUUUAUAGUUGAAGAAUCCACACAAGAAGCCCUAUCUUUAGAUACUCAAAAAACUACCAAAAAAUCCAAUGGAAUGAAAAUAACUCAAUCAUUGCUGAAUGGAAAGCCUGAGAUGCAAAAUGCAGAAUUGUAUUUUUUCAUUGGGGAAGAAAAGGAUUGUCCAUAUCUGCUGGGCUGGAGAAGACAAAAGGGUCAGAGCUAGUUUGUGCCUGAAACAGGAACAGCUGCACAGAGAGAAAUCUACAAACAACACAAUGGGGCAGACUUCACUUGGAACUCCACAGUCCUGGGAGGACAUGAGUCAGUACUGACUGUAUCACAGAGGACCAGAGAGGAUGGAGCUUGUCAUUGACCUGCUUUUAAUAAUCUAGUUAGUCUAAUGUAGGAUCUAUCCGUGGUCAUCAAAUAGGAUCAUUGUGAUCUAAAAAACUGUAAUAUAAGAUAUUGCAGGGGGAUUAGAAUGUUUUGGACAUAAUAGUGAAUGUAUUACAUGUUUAAUAGAUAAUACUAGUUGUGAGAGAAAUGUAAAUCAUUUUAAGUUGAACUAUGAGGUAGCCCACUGAGAGUAGUUAUUUUUGGAUCGUGGUUAGGAGAAUAAUCUUAACACAGUUAUACAUCUUCUUAUACUUUCUAUCUUUCUUGCUUUCAAGCUGUUUUUCUUGCGACUUCACUUUUUUCUUUUCUUUUUAGUCUUUUUUUCUCCUUGUGGCUGUGGAGACAUGGAAUGAAGUGUGCUUUGCUGAGUCCAUAAAGAGGCGUUUUAAAAAGCUGUGUUAACAGACGAACAAUGGUUAAAUGAGCCCCCCUCGGUGAGGGGCUGGUACCCAUGGGGACUCAGCAUGGCACUCUAUUGGCCCAGCUCUCCCCAGUCCCCCAUUCACCACUCAGUCAUGGUCACUUAUGGUGGAGGGAAAAUCACACGAUUCAUGCGAGGCGUGAUCCAAUGACAUUUUAAUGAGCCCCUACUUUUUGGUUGGGCCAGACUGGACGGACUGGAUGGACACAACUUCAGGUUUCCCCAAGUUUCUGUCAGUCAGGUCAAACCAAACUCUUUCACUCUCUAUCUCUCUCUCUCUGUCUCCAUCCCUCUACCCCUCUCUUUCCUCUCUCCCUCUCCCCUCCUCUCAGGCCUUUUGGCCCACCAGGACCAGAGACAAAGCUCCCACAGCCCAGUUGCAGUCUUUAUGUUGCUCCUGCUGGUAGUUACCAUGACGAUGUCAUCAGAGAACCACCCUUUCUGCUGCCACAAUAGACUUUUUCUUUGUGAGAGUGUUUACAAUGAACAUUUUUAUAUGCAUAAAAAAUGAUGUAACGUUUGAUCUAAACUGAAUUUUGAUACUUGUGGGAUUCAAUAUAUUUACUGAUCAACAUUUUCAAAGGAGACAACUUAUAUAGUAUCUGUGAUUAUGUGCCAGUCUCAUUUUUCAUUAUGACAGAACAAUCUCUUUCUGAGACAUUACAUCAUGUAUCACACUCAUGUGUCCUAUGGUGUGUGUCAGUGUGUCAGUGUUGUCAGUGUGUCAGUGUGUCAGUGUUGUCAGUGUGUCAGUGUGUCAGUGUUGUCAGUGUUGUCAGUGUGUCAGUGUGUCAGUGUGUCAGUGUUGUCAGUGUUGUCAGUGUGUCAGUGUGUCAGUGUGUCAGUGUGUCAGUGUGUCAGUGUUGUCAGUGUGUCAGUGUGUCAGUGUUGUCAGUGUUGUCAGUGUGUCAGUGUGUCAGUGUUGUCAGUGUGUCAGUGUGUCAGUGUUGUCAGUAGGUCAGUGUGUCAGUGUGUCAGUGUUGUCAGUGUGUCAGUGUUGUCAGUGUGUCAGUGUGUCAGUGUUGUCAGUGUGUCAGUGUUGUCAGUGUGUCAGUGUGUCAGUGUUGUCAGUGUGUCAGUGUUGUCAGUGUGUCAGUGUUGUCAGUGUUGUCAGUGUGUCAGUGUGUCAGUGUGUCAGUGUUGUCAGUGUGUCAGUGUUGUCAGUGUUGUCAGUGUUGUCAGUGUGUCAGUGUUGUCAGUGUGUCAGUGUUGUCAGUGUUGUCAGUGUUGUCAGUGUGUCAGUGUUGUCAGUGUUGUCAGUGUGUCAGUGUGUCAGUGUUGUCAGUGUGUCAGUGUUGUCAGUGUGUCAGUGUGUCAGUGUUGUCAGUGUGUCAGUGUUGUCAGUGUGUCAGUGUGUCAGUGUGUCAGUGUUGUCAGUGUGUCAGUGUUGUCAGUGUGUCAGUGUGUCAGUGUGUCAGUGGGUCAGUGUUGUCAGUGUGUCAGUGUGUCAGUGUUGUCAGUGUGUCAGUGUGUCAGUGUGUCAGUGUUGUCAGUGUGUCAGUGUGUCAGUGUUGUCAGUGUGUCAGUGUUGUCAGUGUGUCAGUGUUGUCAGUGUGUCAGUAUAUCAGUGUUGUCAGUGUUGUCAGUGUUGUCAGUGUGUCAGUGUGUCAGUGUUGUCAGUGUGUCAGUGUUGUCAGUAUAUCAGUGUUGUCAGUGUGUCAGUGUUGUCAGUAUAUCAGUGUUGUCAGUGUUGUCAGUGUUGUCAGUGUUGUCAGUGUGUCAGUGUUGUCUGUGUGAUAUGUCUAUGGCUAAGAACUGUCAUUAAACUGUCUGACCACAUCACCACACUCAACCAUCAUCUGGCCGUCCACACACUGCAACCACCAGGCUCAUACCACAGGUCCUGGGCCAACAGCCCAGCAGCACACACAAACAUCCAGCAUAUACCAAUCUCCCUCUGCAGAGCCUCCCCACUGAGCUGCCUGUCUUUCUCUCGAUGCACCCUGCUUCUCAUGAGCCUCACUACUAGCUGACAUUGGUGGCUGUGGUGGGGAUGCAGAAUUAGUAUGCAGCAGAGCAGACAGGCCUUCUGUUCUAAUGGGGAGUCCAGAGCAGAGCAGAGUAGAGCGGAGUAGAGCAGAGUAGAAUAGAACAGAGCAAAGCAUAGCAGACGGAGCAUCAGUCUACCGGGGGAUUGAACAGCACCUUCCCUCCUCUCAUCCCCUCUCAGCCCCGGCCUGUCCCGAACCUUAAUGGGACAUCAGACAGACAGACAGAGAGACAGGCAGACAGAGAGACAGACAGACAGAGAGACAGGCAGACAGGCGUCAUUGAGCACAGAGCCCAGCCACCCCACCCCCCUCCUCCUCCUCCCCUCCCCUCCAAAAAUACACCCUCUUUCACACCACCCUCCAGGGCUAUUGAGGGGAUCCUAGACACCCUCCACCCCUCAGCCAAACUCUGCAUAAAUGAUGCUGGUGCCUCUGUGCAGUCCUAUCAGCACCCCCACGCUGUUUCCCAUCCUCCCCUGUCCCCUGUCAUUCCCCUCUCCCUCCCCUGCCCGUCAUUCCCCUCUCCCUCCCCUGCCCGUCAUUCCCCUCUCCCUCCCCUGCCCCAUGUCAUUCCCCUCUCCCUCCCCUGCCCCCUGUCAUUCCCCUCUCCCUCCCCUGCCCCAUGUCAUUCCCCUCUCCCUCCCCUGCCCCUGUCAUUCCCCUCUCCCUCCCCUGCCCCUGUCAUUCCCCUCUCCCUCCCCUGCCCCCUGUCAUUCCCCACUCCCUCCCCUGCUCCCUGUCAUUCCCCUCUCCCU
rnacentral:lncRNA from 1 species